GGUGAAAAGGAAUUGCUUAAUCAGUUUAAUGAUAAAUAGAACUUAAGCUUCACUGCUGAGUUUGAGAAAAAAACCCUCCAGCCAUUAGGACCUGAGAAGCCAACUCAUAUGAAACUUCUCAGGGAGAAUCUUCUAUUUUUCAUUGCAAGUGGAGAAAAGGAGAGUUGUCAAAGUCAACUUAUUCCUUCGCCUGCAAUUCCUAUGCAUGGAUUCUUGAUUCUGGUUAAUGUGAAUCCCGUCGAGUAUGGGCAUAUCUUUUUGGUUCCUUAUGGUACAAAGCAAAGACAAGAGUUUUGGCACAAGGAGAUCUUCUAUUUGAUUUCACGGUUUGCAAAGGAAAACUGAAAUUGCUCCCUAAAGGUCUUUUCUUUUAAAAAUUCUUCUACAACUCCAGAUUAUGCAUAUUUCCAGGAUCGGUACCAUCGGCCUGUAGAAAUGUACGCGGUGCAACACGAGGGAAGGGGAUAGAGAGAUUGGUGACACAAUUGGGUCAAGCAAUUUCAGUUUCAAUCCCUUCCUCGAGUGGAGCACAAGAGGGGGAGCAUGCGACAUCCCUUGCGAAUGAGAUUGGGAAGGAAACCCGAUCAUCUACAACGGUUCAUAAUUGUGGUUGGGACAAUUUUGAUGCUGGGAGUCGAGAGGCAAUCAUUAUGAGAGUUCGGGAACUUGGAUUUGAUUAUCUUGAAAGCAAAGAGCAACUUGUCAUGACGUUACAAGCAAACUAGAAUAUUUAAACAAUUGUUCCCUUCUUUCUUUUCUUUCACCUUUUCCUCUCGGCAAAUUGUGUUUUUUUAUUCCUUUGUGG